CUUGGUCAUAUCGAUACAUGUAACAAUGGCGGCCAGUCCUGAUCCUACAUUGCUGCAAUGGUUGGUAUCUACAAACGACGUUAAACAAUUAUGGGCAGCUCAACCGAUUUUUUUGAUCUCACAGGCGGUCUACAUCCUUGCGGGUGUUAUAACUUUAAUACACGCAUUCAGCAAGGGUGGGCGGUGGCCUUAUUUUUGGCUCGGGACCGUACUGCAUGGA